rnacentral:rRNA from 1 species
AGUGAACGCUGGCGGUAGGCCUAACACAUGCAAGUCGAACGGCAGCACAGUAAGAGCUUGCUCUUACGGGUGGCGAGUGGCGUACGGGUGAGGAAUACAUCGGAAUCUACUUUUUCGUGGGGGAUAACGUAGGGAAACUUACGCUAAUACCGCAUACGACCUACGGGUGAAAGCAGGUGAUCUUCGCACCUUUCGCGUUUGAUUGAGCCGAUGUCGGAUUAGCUUGUUGGCGGGGUAAAGGCCCACCAAGGCGACGAUCCGUAGCUGGUCUGAGAGGAUGAUCAGCGACACUGGAACUGAGACACGGUCCAGAGUCCUACGGGAGGGAGCAGUGGGGAAUAUUGGACAAUGGGCGCAAGCAUGAUACAGCAAGACCGCGUGGGUGAAGAAGGCGUUCGGGUUGUAAAGCCCUUUUGUUGGGAAAGAAAAGAAGCAGGUUAAAACCACGCUGUUGUGACGGUACCAAAAGAAUAAGCACCGGCUAACUUCGUG